rnacentral:rRNA from 1 species
CCCUUAGAUGUUCUGGGCCGCACGCGCGCUACACUGAUGCAUUCAACGAGCCUAGCCUUGACCGAGAGGUCCGGGUAAUCUUUGAAACUGCAUCGUGAUGGGGUUAGAUUAUUGCAAUUAUUAAUCUUCAACGAGGAAUGCCUAGUAAGCGUGAUUCAUCAAAUCGCGUUGAUUACGUCCCUGCCCUUUGUACACACCGCCCGUCGCUCCUACCGAUUGAGUGUGUUGGUGAGGAGUUCGGAUUGGCUCUUAGUGGUGGUUCGCCACCACCUAGAGCUGAGAAGUUCUCCAAACCGCCCCACUUAGAGGAAGGAGAAGUCGUAACA